rnacentral:rRNA from 1 species
AUUGAACGCUGGCGGCAGGCCUAACACAUGCAAGUCGAGCGAGCGGCGGACGGGUGAGUAAUGUAUGGGGACUGCCCGAUAGCGGGGGAUAACUACUGGAAAAGGUAGCUAAUACCGCAUACUAUCGGAUAACGCAUAUGGGAGUAGAUAGUAGGUGAGGUAAUGGCCCACCUAGGCGACGCUCCCUAGCUGGUCUGGGAGGAUGAUCAGCCACACUGGAACUGAGACACGGCCCAGACUCCUACGGAGGCAGCAGUGGGGAAUAUUGCACAAUGGGCGCAAGCCUGAUGCAGCCAUGCCGCGUGUAUGAAGAAGGCCCUAGGGUUGUAAAGUACUUUCAGUCGGGAGGCGUUACCGACAGAAGAAGCACCGGCUAACUCCGUGCCAGCAGCCGCGGUAAUUC